rnacentral:rRNA from 1 species
UACGUAGGGUGCAAGCGUUAAUCGGAAUUACUGGGCGUAAAGCGUGCGUAGGCGGUUUGUUAAGUCUGUUGUGAAAUCCCCGGGCUCAACCUGGGAAUGGCAAUGGAUACUGGCAAGCUAGAGUGUGUCAGAGGAUGGUGGAAUUCCCGGUGUAGCGGUGAAAUGCGUAGAGAUCGGGAGGAACAUCAGUGGCGAAGGCGGCCAUCUGGGACAACACUGACGCUGAGGCACGAAAGCGUGGGGAGCAAACAGG